UUAAGUUCAGCGGGUAUCCCUACCUGAUCCGAGGUCAACCAUAGAAAAUUUGGGGUUGCUGGCAAGCACCACCGAGGUCCCAGAGCGAGAGAUUUACUACGCUUAGAGCCAAGAUGGCACCGCCACUGAUUUUAAGGCCCACCGUGCGGUGAGGCCCAAUACCAAGCAGAGCUUGAGGGUUGAAAUGACGCUCGAACAGG
rnacentral:misc_RNA from 1 species